GCCGGGUGUGGUGAUGCACACCUGUAAUCCCAAUGGCUUGGGAGGCUGAGGCACGAGGAUCAUAAGUUCAAAGCCAGCCUCAG
rnacentral:sRNA from 1 species